UGCAUCGGAACAUACCCAGUCGUGGGGGAUAACGUAGCGAAAGUUACGCUAAUACCGCAUACGUCCUGAGGGAGAAAGCGGGGGAUCGCAAGACCUCGCGCGAUUGGAGUGGCCGAUGUCGGAUUAGCUAGUUGGUGGGGUAAAGGCCUACCAAGGCGACGAUCUGUAGCGGGUCUGAGAGGAUGAUCCGCCACACUGGGACUGAGACACGGCCCAGACUCCUACGGGAGGCAGCAGUGGGGAAUUUUGGACAAUGGGCGCAAGCCUGAUCCAGCCAUGCCGCGUGCGGGAAGAAGGCCUUCGGGUUGUAAACCGCUUUCAGCCGGAAAGAAAUCGCCAUUUCUAAUACAAGUGGUGGAUGACGGUACCGGAAGAAGAAGCACCGGCUAACUACGUG
rnacentral:rRNA from 1 species